UUGACGACUGGAGUAAAUUACAUGCCCAGCUCAGUGAGCAAAUCAAGUCAUUUGAGAAGUCUCAGAAAGAUUUGGAAGUAGCUCUUACUCACAAGGAUGACAAUAUUAAUGCUUUGACUAAUUGCAUUACACAGUUGAAUCAAUUGCAGUGUGAAUCUGAAUCUGAGGGUCAAAAUAAAGGAGGAAAUGAUUCAGAUGAUUUAGCAAAUGGAGAAGUGGCAGGUGACCAGAAUGAGAAGAUGAAAAAUCAAAUUAAGCAGAUGA